ACCUGGCUGGCUCAGAUGGUAGAACAUGAGACUCUUGAUCUCAGGGUUGUGGGUUUAAGCCCCAUUUGGGGUA
rnacentral:tRNA from 1 species